rnacentral:rRNA from 1 species
UACGAGGGGGGCAAGCGUUGUUCGGAAUUAUUGGGCGUAAAGGGCGCGUAGGCGGUGCGGUAAGUCACCUGUGAAACCUCUAGGCUUAACCUAGAGCCUGCAGGCGAAACUGCCGUGCUUGAGGGUGGGAGAGGUGCGUGGAAUUCCCGGUGUAGCGGUGAAAUGCGUAGAUAUUCGCAAGAACACCAGUGGCGAAGGCGGCUCACUGGCCCGAUACUGACGCUGAGGUGCGAAAGCGUGGGGAGCAAACAGG